GAUGAAGAACGUAGCGAAAUGCGAUAAGUAAUGUGAAUUGCAGAAUUCAGUGAAUCAUCGAAUCUUUGAACGCACAUUGCGCCCGCCAGUAUUCUGGCGGGCAUGCCUGUUCGAGCGUCAUUUCAAUCAUCAAGCCCCCGGCUUGUGUUGGGGACCUGCGGCUGCCGCAGGCCCUGAAAACCAGUGGCGGGCUCGCUAGUCACUCCGAGCGUAGUAAUACAUCUCGCUCAGGGCGUGCUGCGGGUUCCGGCCGUUAAAAAAGCCUUAUUUACCCAAGGUUGACCUCGGAUCAGGUAGGAAGACCCGCUGAACUUAAGCAUAUCAAUAAGCGGAGGA
rnacentral:misc_RNA from 1 species